rnacentral:lncRNA from 1 species
AAAUAAAAGGGCUUUGGUGGGGGCCCAACAUCAAAUAAAUUUUCUUUAAAAUAAAAUUGAGUGAAAUGACACAUGUGCUAUUGAUGAUUUUGUAUUCAGUUUAGUGACAUGUAUGCUAUAUCUUGUGAUCAUUGUUUUGUACUAAUCUCAUUUUCAUGAUAGCGCAUAGCGGCUCGCUGCUCAGGUACACACUCAUUCCCACUCUGGUUAGUCUAUAUGCAUUUUCUAACUCUCAUAUGUGCAUGAUUGAUUUGAGUAUUCAUUGGUUUU